rnacentral:rRNA from 1 species
UGCCCUAGUAACGGCGAGUGAAGCGGCAACAGCUCAAAUUUGAAAUCUGGCUCUCGGGCCCGAGUUGUAAUUUGUAGAGGAUGACUUUGAUGCGGUGCCUUCCGAGUUCCCUGGAACGGGACGCCAUAGAGGGUGAGAGCCCCGUCUGGUUGGAUGCCAAAUCUCUGUAAGUCUCCUUCGACGAGUCGAGUAGUUUGGGAAUGCUGCUCUAAAUGGGAGGUAUAUGUCUUCUAAAGCUAAAUACCGGCCAGAGACCGAUAGCGCACAAGUAGAGUGAUCGAAAGAUGAAAAGCACUUUGAAAAGAGAGUUAAAAAGUACGUGAAAUUGUUGAAAGGGAAGCGUUUAUGACCAGACUUGGGCUUGGUUAAUCAUCUGGGGUUCUCCCCAGUGCACUUUUCCAGUCCAGGCCAGCAUCAGUUUUCGCCGGGGGAUAAAGGCUUCGGGAAUGUGGCUCCCCUCGGGGAGUGUUAUAGCCCGUUGUGUAAUACCCUGGCGGGGACUGAGGUUCGCGCUUCUGCAAGGAUGCUGGCGUAAUGGUCAUCAACGACCCGUCUUGAAACACGGACCAAGGAGUCGUCUUCGUAUGCGAGUGUUCGGGUGUAAAACCCCUACGCGUAAUGAAAGUGAACGCAGGUGAGAGCUUCGGCGCAUCAUCGACCGAUCCUGAUGUUCUCGGAUGGAUUUGAGUAAGAGCAUACGGGGCCGGACCCGAAAGAAGGUGAACUAUGCCUGUGUAGGGUGAAGCCAGAGGAAACUCUGGUGGAGGCUCGCAGCGGUUCUGACGUGCAAAUCGAUCGUCAAACAUGGGCAUG